CUGGCCUCGGGGAGGCUGCAGAACAAGUCCUGGCACAGCCCAGUGUGGAGCUCUGCGGCCUCUGGCAGGCUGCUUCCCUGGGGGUGGGAGUGGGGACACCAGGAUACUCAGCAGCUACAUGGAUUCAGACUCUGAGCUGAUAGCGAUCAGCCCACAGCAGAGAAGAUCUCGGUGACCGAGGACUGAGGUUAUGCCCUGCCAGACUGGCCCCACAGCAUGGAUGAGACAUUCCCCCUUCCCCCCAGGAGUCUGGGAGAGGGCAGGCAGCCAGACCCUUCACCAACACAUCACACCCUCCAACCAGCAGCUCCAGUUUUUACCAGCUGACGAUCCAGGGGUCUUCAGCAGUGGGACCUUUUUCCUUCAUGCACCUUCUUCCCCUCCCAAGGCAGCCAACACCUCGCUGAGCAGCAGGAAUAUGCACCUGCAGACAAGCCAGGACUCCUCCUGCCAACCAGCCAGCCUUCCCCUCCUUGGCAUCGUUCAAACACUGGCAAGGGGCCCUGGACAAUUUGCACCAGAUCACAUCCUGCCAGGACAGAGCCCUUGCCUGAAGAAAGCCAGGUCCUAGAGGAAGUGUGUCUUCAAACUACAAGUCAUGCCUAAAAACCUUGAGCAUGAGAGGUCUCAACCCAGGACAAGAUCUACCUAAAGCCAACACCGCUAGCCAAAAACACUGCUUUUUUUCCCAACCCACCCCCCCCCCCCCCCCGAAAUUAUUAAUAAAAAUCCAUGUGAGGCUUUGAAAGAUUAGGUUAUCAGGUUAGACUGACCCUGGGAGCUGUAGGGAAAAUUGCAGCAUUUUGCUGGAGGAGGAACUGAACUGUAGGAGGCAGAAGGAAUGAAAAAUUCAUGGGAGGUGCUCAAGAAAAGUACUUAAACAUAGAAGCCUGUAAAAGCAAUUCUGCUUUGGCAAGAUUAUGAAAUAAAAAUCACCCUUGAUUCCCACACAGGUUAUUUAUUUGACCAACUGAAUUACGCUACAGUAUUGCCACUACAUUUUUCCGCUCUUGCUACGCUGGGGAAUUUCCUGGUGGCAGCAAAAGGAGAGGGUUGGUUCAGUGGAGCACUGGCAUGUCCGCCGUCCGCCGGAGAGGCACAGCCGGGGCUCCACCCUGAUCCCAAAGGGAAGCCAACACUUUGGGCAAUUACAGCUCAGAUUCCCCCAAAUUUUCCCUAAUGAGCAAUUAUAUCCCACAGCUGGGGCUAAGCAAAGAGCCUGAGGGGAGUGCUCCAAGCUGGAGAAGAUGGAGAAGUGGGUGACACUUCUCCAGCAUGCUUCCACAUGCUGGUGGAGAAGGUGCAGAGCCCAGCAGGGAUUUUCCCUGCCCUGGACCCACAGCUCAGCCCAGGAGCUGAGCUACAUUCCCAGCUUGUUCCAAUGCUACUGUGGGCACUGGUGCCCUCCUCCCCUGCCAUUUCUU